GAACGGGUGAGUAACACGUGGGUGAUCUGCCCUGCACUUUGGGAUAAGCCUGGGAAACUGGGUCUAAUACCGAAUACACCCUGCUGGUCGCAUGGCCUGGUGGGGGAAAGCUUUUGCGGUGUGGGAUGGGCCCGCGGCCUAUCAGCUUGUUGGUGAGGUUACGGCUCACCAAGGCGACGACGGGUAGCCGGCCUGAGAGGGUGACCGGCCACACUGGGACUGAGAUACGGCCCAGACUCCUACGGGAGGCAGCAGUGGGGAAUAUUGCACAAUGGGCGCAAGCCUGAUGCAGCGACGCCGCGUGGGGGAUGACGGCCUUCGGGUUGUAAACCUCUUUCAGUAGGGACGAAGCGCAAGUGACGGUACCUACAGAAGAAGGACCGGCCAACUACGUGCCAGCAGCCGCGGUAAUACGUAGGGUCCGAGCGUUGUCCGGAAUUACUGGGCGUAAAGAGCUCG
rnacentral:rRNA from 1 species